rnacentral:sRNA from 1 species
UACUUGCGCUGCAAUGUGGGACACCCCGGU